rnacentral:rRNA from 4 species
UCCUGACUGACCGAUAGUGAACCAGUACCGUGAGGGAAAGGCGAAAAGAACCCCGGCGAGGGGAGUGAAAAAGAACCUGAAACCGUGUACGUACAAGCAGUGGGAGCACGCUUAGGCGUGUGACUGCGUACCUUUUGUAUAAUGGGUCAGCGACUUAUAUUCUGUAGCAAGGUUAACCGAAUAGGGGAGCCGAAGGGAAACCGAGUCUUAACUGGGCGUUAAGUUGCAGGGUAUAGACCCGAAACCCGGUGAUCUAGCCAUGGGCAGGUUGAAGGUUGGGUAACACUAACUGGAGGACCGAACCGACUAAUGUUGAAAAAUUAGCGGAUGACUUGUGGCUGGGGGUGAAAGGCCAAUCAAACCGGGAGAUAGCUGGUUCUCCCCGAAAGCUAUUUAGGUAGCGCCUCGUGAAUUCAUCUCCGGGGGUAGAGCACUGUUUCGGCAAGGGGGUCAUCCCGACUUACCAACCCGAUGCAAACUGCGAAUACCGGAGAAUGUUAUCACGGGAGACACACGGCGGGUGCUAACGUCCGUCGUGAAGAGGGAAACAACCCAGACCGCCAGCUAAGGUCCCAAAGUCAUGGUUAAGUGGGAAACGAUGUGGGAAGGCCCAGACAGCCAGGAUGUUGGCUUAGAAGCAGCCAUCAUUUAAAGAAAGCGUAAUAGCUCACUGGUCGAGUCGGCCUGCGCGGAAGAUGUAACGGGGCUAAACCAU